GUGUGUGCCUGCCGCUGCUCGCCUUAUUCUCGUGCCAACCCGCACUGGGCGAUCAUCUACGAGCGUUCAACCUGACCGAGGCGACCUUCUCCAAUCGGACGUGCUUCUCGUGCAGCCUGGACUUCCGCUACGUGCCCUGGCAGGGCGACCACCCCUGCCUGGGCUGGACUGAGCCGGUGGCCACCGACUACCUGGUCCAGUGUGGCGGUCACCAGCCCAUCUGUCAGGAGACGUGGUUCGUUCAGAGCGGCAUUCUGCUGCUGCUCUCGCGCGGCUGUACGGACUCGUGCGCGGCCUACUGCAAGUCCACUGGGUUCGGCGUCACGCGCACCACCUGUAACCUCUGCUGUGAGCGCGACGGCUGUAACGACCACCCGCCCAGUCUACAGGCCACUGCCACCGGACUCUGAAGGCGCGGUUACUGGCGCGGGCCGUUAAAAUAGAGCUCAGGUCACACUGUGUCAGUAGAGUUGAGGUCACAGAGCGUCAGUAGAGGUUAAGUCACAAUGUGUUAGUGGAUCUCUGUGGCUAUCAGGGACAGCUGCAGCCUAGGUCAAUUUCUUUGAGUUUCUUUUCAUUGUCGUGGACAAUAUUGCUCACGUUCAGCUUUUGCCUCUCGGUCGUAUCCUGACUCGUACCGAUGUGAUGUAUGUACAUGACUGGAUAA